rnacentral:rRNA from 1 species
GAUGAACGCUGGCGGCGUGCUUAACACAUGCAAGUCGAACGGAAAGGCCCAAGCUUGCUUGGGUACUCGAGUGGCGAACGGGUGAGUAACACGUGGGUGAUCUGCCCUGCACUUCGGGAUAAGCCUGGGAAACUGGGUCUAAUACCGGAUAGGACGAUGGUUUGGAUGCCAUUGUGGAAAGCUUUUUCGGUGUGGGAUGAGCUCGCGGCCUAUCAGCUUGUUGGUGGGGUAAUGGCCUACCAAGGCGUCGACGGGUAGCCGGCCUGAGAGGGUGUACGGCCACAUUGGGACUGAGAUACGGCCCAGACUCCUACGGGAGGCAGCAGUGGGGAAUAUUGCACAAUGGGCGCAAGCCUGAUGCAGCGACGCCGCGUGGGGGAUGACGGCCUUCGGGUUGUAAACUCCUUUCGCUAGGGACGAAGCGUUUUUGUGACGGUACCUGGAGAAGAAGCACCGGCUAACUACGU